CCGGAGCCUGCGCCUGGGGGCGUCCGCGAGCGCAGCCUCCUCCGCGAGGGCCUAGGACCCCCGCCUCAGGGUUUUCGCUUUGGCCUCAGUUUCCACAUCCACAGGCCGGGAGGGAAAUCCCAUUCUGCAGGCGCCUGAGACUGUUCCUCCCCCGAAGGAAAGAGAACUCGAGCCUCAUUUCCCCGUCUGCGGUCUGACUUCCACGGACCCCUUAGGCCUUCCACCCCUCGCGCUGCACUUUCCGCCAAGAUAGCGGGGCUUCGGGCCUGAGAGCCUACACGGGAAAGGGGGCCUGUCGGUCCCUGCCAACCGAGCCCCGAGCCCAGCAGCAGGGCUCCGGGUGAUGUGACGGUGGGCUCCUGGGUCCUGAGAAACAAGAGAAGUGAGGUCCGUGGGGACCACCAGCUCCACAGAGCCUUCUGUUUUUUCUUGGAAACAAGAUUACAGGGAUGUUCUCCCAAAGCAAACCUUAGAUUUUGCGGUGGAACCUGAGUCCAGAUAGGAGGCCUCAACACGGCGACCCUGGGCAGCUCACGCGACCUACUGGUCUGCACACCUCUUUGGCAAAACGCGAGGACUCCAGCCCCUCCUUCAUCGUGAGGAGCCAGUGUGUGAUUUGGUGUAUACACGCACAAGGGGUGAGCCAUUGCCCAGCUCUGCCAAAUCCUCGAUUUAAGCGCCGGGACGGCCCCAGUCCUGUUGUCACCCAACCCCUCACUUUCUCUGGAACGUGACCCCCCGGGGGAUGCUGAACACGCUGAACAGCCCGAGCUCCAGAACUUUUACAAAGGUGGAAGUUCCCUUCCAGAGACAAAUGAAUCCCUCUAUAUAAACACGUUUCACAAACAUCCGCAGGAUGCCCAAGGAUAAUUCCAGACUUGGCUGCAUCCCAGGGGCUUUCACUCACUUCCCCUGGGCAUCAGGAGGCUGAGUGCCAGAACCUGCAUUUACCAGGUGACUAUCUACCCUGCUUUGUUCUCGUGCCCUUUCUGCUCCUCCUCUGCCAGGGAGAGGACAGCCAAAUUCCAGAGCAGGGCUGAGGUGGCUGCCCCAGCUUGUCCAGGUUACCAACCUAGGCUGUGCUGAGUAUGCAGAUGGUGUGGAACUGGCUACAGGCCACCUCCAGAGAAGGAGCUCAAUCGUGACUCAGCCUGGGCUUGUGAGAAAGGAGGGAAAAGGCAGGGAGACCUUUCAAACGUGGCCAUCAAGGCAGUCUGCUCACUUGGCGUCAGUUGAGGUACUUACCCCUCAGGUGCACCAAAGUGUUUUUUGUUUCUGUUUUUGUUUUUUGUCUUUUUUAGGACCA